AUUGAACGCUGGCGGCAUGCUUUACACAUGCAAGUCGAACGGUAACAGGGAGCUUGCUCCGCUGACGAGUGGCGAACGGGUGAGUAAUAUAUCGGAACGUACCCAAGAGUGGGGGAUAACGUAGCGAAAGUUACGCUAAUACCGCAUACGAUCUAUGGAUGAAAGCAGGGGACCUUCGGGCCUUGUGCUCCUGGAGCGGCCGAUAUCUGAUUAGCUAGUUGGUGAGGUAAAGGCUCACCAAGGCGACGAUCAGUAGCUGGUCUGAGAGGACGACCAGCCACACUGGAACUGAGACACGGUCCAGACUCCUACGGGAGGCAGCAGUGGGGAAUUUUGGACAAUGGGCGCAAGCCUGAUCCAGCAAUGCCGCGUUAGUGAAGAAGGCCUUCGGGUUGUAAAGCUCUUUUGUCAGGGAAGAAACGGCUGUGGCUAAUAUCCACGGCUAAUGACGGUACCUGAAGAAUAAGCACCGGCUAACUACGUG
rnacentral:rRNA from 1 species